CCUACGGGAGGCUGCAGUGGGGAAUAUUGCACAAUGGGGGAAACCCUGAUGCAGCGACGCCGCGUGAGCGAUGAAGUAUUUCGGUAUGUAAAGCUCUAUCAGCAGGGAAGCAACUGACGGUACCUGACUAAGAAGCCCCGGCUAACUACGUGCCAGCAGCCGCGGUACUACGUAGGGGGCAAGCGUUAUCCGGAUUUACUGGGUGUAAAGGCAGCGUAGACGGUCCUGCAAGCCAGAUGGGAAAGCCCGGGGCGCAACCCCGGGACUGCAGUUGGAACUGUAAGGCUAGAGUGUAGGAGAGGCAGGCGGAAUUCGUAGUGUAGCGGUGAAAUGCGUAGAUAUUAGGAGGAACACCAGUGGCGAAGGCGGCCUGCCGGACGAUGACUGACGUUGAGGCUCGAAAGCGUGGGGAGCAAACAGGAUUAGAUACCCGGGUAGUC
rnacentral:rRNA from 1 species